rnacentral:rRNA from 1 species
GAAUUGCAUUAGCCGACCUGGAGAGGGUAAUCGGCCACACUGGGACUGAGACACGGCCCAGACUCCUACGGGAGGCAGCAGUAGGGAAUCUUCCACAAUGGACGAAAGUCUGAUGGAGCAACGCCGCGUGAGUGAAGAAGGUUUUCGGAUCGUAAAACUCUGUUGUUGGAGAAGAAUGUAUCUGAUAGUAACUGAUCAGGUAGUGACGGUAUCCAACCAGAAAGCCACGGCUAACUACGUGCCAGCAGCCGCGGUAAUACGUAGGUGGCAAGCGUUGUCCGGAUUUAUUGGGCGUAAAGCGAGCGCAGGCGGUUUCUUAAGUCUGAUGUGAAAGCCUUCGGCUCAACCGAAGAAGUGCAUCGGAAACUGGGAAACUUGAGUGCAGAAGAGGACAGUGGAACUCCAUGUGUAGCGGUGAAAUGCGUAGAUAUAUGGAAGAACACCAGUGGCGAAGGCGGCUGUCUGGUCUGUAACUGACGCUGAGGCUCGAAAGCAUGGGUAGCAAACAGGAUUAGAUACCCUGGUAGUCCAUGCCGUAAACGAUGAGUGCUAGGUGUUGGAGGGUUUCCGCCCUUCAGUGCCGCAGCUAACGCAUUAAGCACUCCGCCUGGGGAGUACGACCGCAAGGUUGAAACUCAAAGGAAUUUGACGGGGGCCCGCACAAGCGGUGGAGCAUGUGGUUUAAUUCGAAGCAACGCGAAGAACCUUACCAGGUCUUGACAUCCUUUGACCACUCUAGAGAUAGAGCUUUCCCUUCGGGGACAAAGUGACAGGUGGUGCAUGGUUGUCGUCAGCUCGUGUCGUGAGAUGUUGGGUUAAGUUCCCGCAACGAGCGCAACCCUUAUUACUAGUUGCCAGCAUUUAGUUGGGCACUCUAGUGAGAACUGCCGGUGACAAACCGGAGGAAGGUGGGGACGACGUCAAAUCAUCAUGUCCCCGUUAUGUA